rnacentral:tRNA from 3 species
AAGGCUUUAGCUUAAUUAAAGUGUCUGAUUUGCGUUCAGUUGAUGUAGGUUUAUGUCCUGCAAGUCUUA